AAAUUCAUAAAGUUUACUCACCUACGUGUGCACUUAGUGGUUUUUUUCAACAACCACCUUUUAAUGAUGAACUUUGUCCCACUGUAAACCUUGCUCUGCACUUUGCCCCGAAGGAGUGCGUGUCUCACUCAGCUGUUUGAGCAGCGCGGUGGAUUGUACUUCCCACGGUUGAGGCCAGCUGGCUCUCGGAGACGCCUCCUCCCCGGACCACUCUUAUUGAAUGCCCCCCCCAGUGCUGAGGGCCUUAUAAAUUCUUCCUCAGUGCUGUUUAACUAAGACUUUGAGACUUGGAAUUUCUUGUCUUCUGGCCUCAGCCUCCUGAGUAACUGGGAUUAUAGGCCACAUUCCAGCCCGCCCAGCCCCUGGGCAGUCUUUGAUUGCCUUGAGGGCAGUGAUUUGAGCAAGACGCAACACUAAAACACCAAAUGGGUGGAACUCUUCAUAAAGCACGCAGAUGACCCUGCCACCUGCUCUGGUCUUAACAGUGCCCUUUGGAAUGAGGUCAGCCUUCUUCACAGGGAUAACACGCCUGCCUCUGCCGCCCCUCCUGCCACCACUAGCUACUUUAAAAAAAAAACAACUUCUUUUUUGUUUUUCCUUGCCUGUGUGAGGUCUCAUUUUUUUCUCUGUCUUCAAGAUGUCCAUGGUCUGGUAUUUGUAUUUGUGUGGUCCUCUCCCUUGGGAUGUGGCCCAGACCUUAGGCACCUGCGUCUAAGGAGGGAGCGCGUCCGAAGUAAUAGGGUGCCCACCCUCUCUUGCUUGUCCUGAGAGAGGCCAUCUGCUGGGCCUUGCACUGCCUUGGGGGUGGUGGAGAACCUGAUCACCACAGCAAGGGCUCACCAGGAGUCAAAUCCCGACAACAGCUGUGUAAAGGCGACCCGCUCCCAGGCAAGUCAUCGCGGCCCUGGCGGAAGCCUCCCCUGCAUCCUUGUGAGCAAACAAGCUCAGCCCAGAAUCCUGACCCGAAGACACUGUGAGAUAAUAAAUGUUUGUUGUCCUGAGCUGCUAAAAUUUCAGAUAACUUGUUACCCAACCAUCCAUAACUGAUAUAAUCAGUGUCAUAUAUUUUUCUUCUCAUGGUCUUUGAUAUCCCCCCCAACUUUUCCUUCCCAUAAAGCAUCAAAAACUAUUUUAAUAAUUUUAGCAGAUUGAGUGUUCCUGCUGCAUCAGCUGCUGUGCUCGUAUAAUCGUAUACAAAAUAUCACACCUGUGUAGGACUGAUUAGGACACUCAAUGUGUCCUUUUUUGAUUAGGUGGUGCUGGGGUUUGCCCCAGGGACCUGCACGUUCUAGGCAAGUGCUGAGCUACACCCCCA
rnacentral:lncRNA from 1 species